AUCAAGCCUGACUUUUGCUUAAUCAUUUGGGGGUAUAAUUAGCCUUAUUCAAUUUCUUCAUUCCCCAAUUCUUGCUAUCUAUUCUCUAACUGCUUUUAUGCUUUCUCAAGAAUUGUCUUGCACUUUUCGCUCACGUAUGAGAAAAUUUCCUCAGUCAUUUUUAAUCACAAUCAUGUCUUCUUCUAAUUUCCAAAACAAUGAUCAUAGCUACAAAUGUGAUAACUUUUCUCAAUCAGUUUCUUCUAUCUUAUAUUGCUAGUUGCUACUGUUGGGCAACCAACUCAUCUCGGCCCCCUUAUUGCUAUCUAGAAACACUUUUUGCUUUGCCUUUCAACUUCUAGAGUGAGCGAUGAGUCCAUGUUCCUUGGCUUCUGUUUAUUUCCUCCUGACUGUUAUCAUCUUUCAAUGUUUAGGCCAGGGGAUUUUAUUACUUUUACCCACUCAAUGGUUGAUUACCAGACUUGGUUGACUCAGAUGGAGACGACUGAAAGUCAAGAAUGGAAGAAGUCACAUAUUUAUGACAUGAUUAUGCUCUCCAAAGAAGCUAUGAGGCUUGACAUAGAACACUUCUUUGGCUUCCUUGACUACUGGUUCAUGAGCAUCAACACCUUCAUUUUUCGUGGCGUAUGAUGACCCCCUCUAUUUUGGACGUGGCUGCCUUUCUUGGCUUGUCUCUCACUAAGUCUAGUGCUCUACUAGUCCAUGAUGCUCUCAUCUCUCAAUUGAGAAUUUUUUUCUCGAAAACAAACUCCAUUUAUUCAAAGUUUUCGAUUGUCAAUGCUAAGAAACCAGGACCGAUUACUAAUGCAGAGCACAAUGCAUUCUUGUUGUAUCGGUUCAAAUAAUUUUUUUUUGUACUGGUUCUUUAACUGUGG
rnacentral:lncRNA from 1 species